CGGACACGUCAGAAAAAAGCCUAGAUUACCUGAAGUGCCUUGAGCCCUCAUGCUUCACCUGUAUCGCUGCGAGUGACGGCCUUCUCGGGCUUUCCGCCGUCCCAUUUGGAGAUGGCGAAGUGAACCUUCUCGCGCGUGAGCGCCUCGGCCUUGAAGGGCUCCUUGAGGCAGUUGCGGACGAGGGAGGCGCAGAUGUUGGAGUAGGAGAUGUACGUCAGCCCCGCCGAACGCCAGAAGGGGACCGCCGCCGUUGAUGCUGCUGAUGCCAUCGCCGCCGCCGCCG
rnacentral:misc_RNA from 1 species